UCUUGAGUAAAGUAGAAGUGGCUGGAAUAAGUAGUGUAGCGGUGAAAUGCAUAGAUAUUACUUAGAACACCAAUUGCGAAGGCAGGUCACUAUGUUUUAACUGACGCUGAUGGACGAAAGCGUGGGGAGCGAACAGGAUUAGAUACCCUGGUAGUCCACGCCGUAAACGAUGCUAACUCGUUUUUGGGUUUUCGGAUUCAGAGACUAAGCGAAAGUGAUAAGUUAGCCACCUGGGGAGUACGUUCGCAAGAAUGAAACUCAAAGGAAUUGACGGGGGCCCGCACAAGCGGUGGAUUAUGUGGUUUAAUUCGAUGAUACGCGAGGAACCUUACCAAGGCUUAAAUGGGAAUUGACAGGUUUAGAAAUAGACUUUUCUUCGGACAAUUUUCAAGGUGCUGCAUGGUUGUCGUCAGCUCGUGCCGUGAGGUGUUAGGUUAAGUCCUGCAACGAGCGCAACCCCUGUCACUAGUUGCCAUCAUUCAGUUGGGGACUCUAGUGAGACUGCCUACGCAAGUAGAGAGGAAGGUGGGGAUGACGUCAAAUCAUCACGGCCCUUACGCCUUGGGCCACACACGUAAUACAAUGGCCGGUACAGAGGGCAGCUACCUAGCGAUAGGAUGCGAAUCUCGAAAGCCGGUCUCAGUUCGGAUUGGAGUCUGCAACUCGACUCUAUGAAGCUGGAAUCGCUAGUAAUCGCGCAUCAGCCAUGGCGCGGUGAAUACGUUCCCGGGCCUUGUACACACCGCCCGUCAAGCCAUGGAAGUUUGGGGUACCUGANAGUCGGUNACCGUANACANGAG
rnacentral:rRNA from 1 species